CUGCCUGCCUGCCUCCCACAGCUGCUCUCAGCUGGGGAAAUAUGGAUAUGAAACUUCUCUGGGAACCUUGUGCCAGCAGUAGGGCUGGGAUGGGGGGGGGGGGCCUGUGUGCCCACAGGGCUGGAGGACCAGGACCAGGCACUCAGAACCAGUCUCUUCCCGUGGCCUCCCUGGGCUGGGCUCCUUCUGCCCUUCCUGUGUUAUUCAUUUAAAGAUCCUUUAAUGCCCACACCUCAGCUUGUAAAAGCCUGUAGCUCAGACCGCUCCCCGCCCUCAAGGGGCCCUUCCAGAGCAGCAGCAAAAUGCUGGUGAGGCCCUGGAGGUGGGGGAGGGGGCUAGGGGGGUAACCCCACCUUCUUCACUUGGGAGACUCCAAGUCCAGGCCGGGUCCUUGGGCUCUCAGUGGCUAUUAUGGGUUAAUUUUGUCCCUCAAAAAUUCACAUGUUGAAGCCCUAAGCCUCAGGACCUCAGACUGUGACUGUACUUGGAGCCCAGGCCUUCCAAAAGGUGAUUAAGAUGAAAUGAGGUCAUGUGGAUGGGCCCUAACCCAGUGUGACUGGUGUCCUUCUAAGAAACUUGGACACACAGGAGAGCAGGGGCACUCAGCAAGAGGGCCACCUCGGAGGAGACCUACCUGCCUGCCGACACCUGGACCUCGGGCUUCGAGCCUCUGUGAGCCGGAAGGGCUUCCUCCCUAUGAAGUCAGCCGCAUGACUCAACCUCAGAGGACACCUGCUCCAGCUGCUGCCUGGCUGCCAGGAAUGCUGCCCUCUGCCCUCCGCCCUUUGCCCUCCACCCAGGAGGAGGAGGAGCUUUCCAUCUGCCACUUCACCUGUUAAGGCCGACUGCCCAGAAGAAGUGUCUUGGGCCCACAGAGAUAAUUUAUGCAAUGCUCAUCCAUACAUUGCACACAUGACCCAGAUAAUAACUGCUGGAAAUGGAGUCAUUUACCCAUUUUACAGAUGGAAAGACUGAGACUCAAAAAACUGACCUGCUGAAGUUACACAGAAAUGUAAUUAGACGGGUGGGUGCCCCAGUGUCACACUGGUGUGGGGGUCUGAAAUGUGGGAACAGAAGGUCCACACCAGCACAAACCAUGUCCACAGAGGACACGGCCCUGGGUACUCAGGUGGGGCCAAUCUGUUCUACCCUGGAGGGAACACAGGACCGUCCUGCCUGACCUGCUCUUGCAAGAAGGUAGAGCUGCCCCCACCCAGCCUCAGCUCCAGAGGCCAGACCUGCCCACCUGGGAAAGCCCAGUCCUGGGCUGGAAUGGAGGGCGGGCCAAGGGGAGUGGUGGCCAGAGGGUGGAUCUGAGCUGGAAGGGCCAGUGAGUUGUGGCUAGCUGAAAAUACUACCAAAGGUGGCCAGGAUGGAGUCUGCUCACACACCUGGGAGCAGUGGAGAGUGCCACAACCAGGGACAGGAGGGCCCAGAGGCCAGGCUGGUUCUGGACCCUGUGGGCUUCCCAGGCCUGUCAGGGUGAUGGCCUCGGUUGGGCCCCAACAGGCCUCCUCUCACUGUGCUAGCACCCCCUUAUUUUCAUCCUCAAGGUGAUACUACUCUGCAGGUGAGGAAAUAGUCCCAGUGAGGUUAGGGACCCAGGUCAGGGUUGUCCAGGGGCCAUGGUGGAACUGGAAAGGACAGCAGGGCUGGGGGUCUCUGAGCGAGCCAUGCACCACCAGGCCACCCUGUCACACAUUCCGGGCCUCCUCUCCCAACUGGGAGUGGGCUCCUCGGCCCUGCGAGCAGGACAGCCAGCUGUCCCUGGGGGCUGUUGUUGCCUCAGCAGCAGACUCUUCUGGGGAAAAGGCCAGCCCCUGCUGGGCAGACGCAGGGGCGGUCCAGGGUGGGAGGGAGACCCCCCUCUCCAUCCCUGCCACUGGAGGAUAGCUGGACAGCUGGGUGGGUCCAGAUGUAGAGGAGGGGUGGGCGGCCCACGGUGCUGGCGGGUAGGGGUGUGGGAAGGGCCCUACCAAAGGCCUUCGUCCUGUGAGCCUGCCUCCCCCAGGUCUCUGGUGGAAUGUCCACUUCUGGCUGAUGCGAGGUGGCCUUGACUCCUCUGGGAGGGGGAGAGGGGACAGGGAGCUGCUGUGGUACCCAGGCUUGGGGGAGGCCCCCACUGGUGGCAUCUGCGGCCCAGCACGAACCCGGCUGAGAGGAUUCUGCUCGCCAUAGUCCUGAGGAGUGGGAGGCUGGGAUUGGAAAAUACCCUACCUCGUGCCCAGGCUGCUGGGGACAGAGCUGAGGUGACUACUACACAGGGGAGCUGUAAACUGAUAUUCAGACCGAUAAGGGAGGCUGGACUGCUUUACCUGGCAUGUUUAUUUGCCUUUUUUAUGUUUGAAGUCUAUACAAAACGUCGAGAGGAAAUAGCAAAGGCCAGGAGCCGAGCGAUCUGAUUCAACCAGGGGGAGGGGAGGUGGGCACAGGUAACUUCCAUUAACCUGGGGUGGGAGGCAGGUGGGUCUGGGGACAGGAGGGCAGGGAUUGGGCUGCCUUUGGAGCCCUGUAACCCAAAUGAAAGGGGAAAACCUGUUUCAAACAAACCCAUGCAAAUGCAAAUCACAGGUUCUGGGAAAGUAGGUCUUAAGGGGCAAGAACUAACACAGUCUGCUCAACCUAGAAGUUUUGCAGCACAAAGUGUCUAGCACUGAGUCCACAAACAAAAAUCAAACCCCAAACAAGAAAGGAGAAAAAUCUGUGGAGGCAACGUGAAUCCCAAGCUGAUCUUGGAGAGUGACUGAAAUCAGCCGCCGUGGGGCCACCUGAGAAGCCGACUGGCGGUGACGGGUGCCAGAGGACACCGUGGGAGGUUGGGCUGCAGGGACCACAAGGGCCAUGAAGGUGCUCUGGAGAACCACAGCCGCACACAGCUUGUGUGGCAGGGCGGGGAAAGCCCGGGGAGGCAAAAGCCCUGGCACUGGAGUUCAGUGUGACAUCGUCAAAUCAGGGCAUCUGGAUCCACUUGCCUCUCCCCCUUUACAGAUGGGAAAACUGAGGCCGGCGGGGCAGCAGCCUCUGAAGUACAGGAAUGCAGCCAUUCCUGCGACUCCCACUCACUGAGCCUUACUGUGUGCUGGGAACUGAGAGGGCAGGGCCCCAGCCCCAGCAGAGCUGACAGGGGCUCCCACCCCAAGCCUUUCAGUGGCAAUGCCCUCUGGCACCCUGCACUACGUCAGUCGGGACCCACUUCACAGCGUUCUUUGGAGGAGAAGCUGCUUGUCCCCAUUUUACAGACGAGGGACUUGAGGCUCAGAGGGGCAGUCUGCUCCCAGGACUGGGCCUGGAGCCCUGCUUCAUCUGAGCUAAAACAGCCCCACUUUCUGUUUCUACAAACCAGCUCCCACAUCAGCAACUGGAGAGUGCCAUCAGAACCUUUUUUGUUAGGGAAACAUCCAAGAACUCUCCCAACCACACUGGAAGGCCAACAAGGACGUCUUGAAGCCUUCCCCGAUGCUCUGACAUCCCAGGGCCCCCGGAGGUGUUCACAGCGUGGGGCGGGAGGAAGCUGUCCUCGUUUGCUUGGCAUCCCUGGGUGAAGGCGACACUGGACAUGGGCAAGCAACCCGGGCAUAGAUGCAAGUCAUGCAUCUUGUUUCCAGAACUCCUUGCGGGAAGCUACCCUGGCCUAGGAUCUGAGAUUAAAAAUCAUAUCUAUACUUGUUCGGAAGAUCAUGAAACACACCCAGGAAGGAAGGGGUGUUCCAGCAGAGCUCCGGGGACAGGCUGAUCUUCCUGCUUGCUCUCGCAGCCAAAGGGAUCCUUGCGACAUGGGAAUCCAGAUUACAGCUGAACCCCCGCCCUCUGCCCAGGGCUCUCCGUGUUGGCCUCCCCACCCUGCUCCUGCUCACUUUGCCCAGCCAAGCCUGUUCCCGCCUCAGGACUUUGAACAUGCCAGCUCCUUUCCUCUGAAUGCCCUCCUGACCCUUGACCCUGGGCCCUCGGCUGCAUGUGGCUUUGGAUCUCCGGUCACUCCAGUCUCUGCUUAAAGGUCAAGUGAGGACGACUUGCCCCUCCGGUCCCCGUCAUCACAUGGCGUUUAGCACCACCUGAUGCUCUUGCAAGUGUUUCUGUGCAUGUUUGCCACAGCCUGUCAUCCACGCUCGAAUGGGGCAGGGGUCCCCAGUGCCUAACUGUGGGCUCCGCACUGUGACACAGAGUCUUGGAUGGAUUAACACCUCCAAGGUGUCUUGCUGACAAAUGCUGCUCUGACAACAGAAGCUGUGCAAAGGGUGGAGCAGGGUGACCCAGACGGACCACGCCGCUUGCCAGGGCGACAGCCCCUCGGCUGCCCUCCUUUGUUGCCAUGUAGGAAUGUGGACCCUGUCAUUGGGCUGUUGGAGUCUCCCAGAGAAGCCAGAAAACCACGUCUUCUGGUGAAACUCAGUGACUUUUAAAAUAUAGGCAGCUAAUUCCAAUCUAAAAUAUAAAACACUUGGCAGGACAACAAAACCCGGAUGCAGGCAGAGGUGUUCAGAGACCAGCCCAUUUGUGUGACGUCUGGUUCAAACCACAGGAGUUAAGCUAGACUGAAAAGGUCAUUAUUCAAUGAUAGAGAUUGACAAGCACAGAACAGCAGCGGGUGUGCGGCUGCCCCUAACAAAGAAGCAGAUUUGGAAAGGAAAGUUCAUGGUAGUGCAAAGAGGAAAUAAUGCCCUUGAUGGUGCACCUGCAGGUGGGUUCAGCCAGGGCAGGAUCGCAGCCAGCUGGUGUGGAGACAGCUCAGAGCUCAGGCUCAAAGUCCAUGGUGCUGAGCUCACUUGGGAAGCAGGAGCAGGCAUACAAGGGAGCUAUUGCCCCAGGUGGGGUGCGGAAAAGCCGGGUCAAGCCAGGUAACAGGGUGAUGGGGCCCAGAGAAUGUUGCUGGCCAGUGGUGGCUGGGCCAGGCCACACGUCUAAGCCACAUCCUGCUCUAGCUUGCUUUUUUUUUAAAUUUUUUAUUAAGGUAUGAUUGAUAUACACUCUUAUGAAGGUUUCACAUGAAAAAACAAUGUGGUUACUACAUUUACCUGUAUUAUCAAGUCCCCACCCACACCCCAAUGCAGUCACUGUCCAUCAGUGCAGCAAGAUGCCACAGAUCCACUAUGUGCUUUCUCUGUGCUACACUGUUCUCCCCGUGAUCCCCACACCAUGUGUACUAAACAUAAUACCCCUCAGUCCCCUUCUCCCUCCCACACCCCUCCCCUUUGGUAAGCACUAGUUCCUUCUUGGAGUCUCUGAGUCUGUUGCCAUUUUGUUCCUUCAGUUUUGCCUCAUUGUUAUACUCCACAAAUGAGGGAAAUCAUUUGGCACGUGUCUUUCUCUGCCUGGCUUGUUUCACUGAGCAUAAUGUCCUCCAGCUCCAUCCAUGCUGUUGCAAAUGGUAGGAUUUGUUUCUUUCUUAUGGCUGAAUAAUAUUCCAUUAUGUAUAUGUA